UACGAAGGGGGCUAGCGUUGUUCGGAUUUACUGGGCGUAAAGCGCACGUAGGCGGUUUGUUAAGUCGGAUGUGAAAUCCCUCGGCUCAACUGAGGAAGUGCAUCCGAAACUGGCAAGCUUGAGUACGAAAGAGGGUCGCGGAAUUCCCGGUGUAGAGGUGAAAUUCGUAGAUAUCGGGAGGAACACCGGUGGCGAAGGCGGCGACCUGGGUCGAUACUGACGCUGAGGUGCGAAAGCGUGGGGAGCAAACAGG
rnacentral:rRNA from 1 species